rnacentral:tRNA from 1 species
GCUUCAUUAACUCAGCGGUAGAGUGCCUCUUUCACAUGGAGGAAGCCGGGAGUUCAAAUCUCUCAUGAAGCACCA